AACGAACGCUGGCGGCGUGGAUAAGACAUGCAAGUCGAACGGGACAGGUAGCAAUAUCUGUCUAGUGGCGAACGGGUGCGUAACACGUGGGCAACAUGCCUGGAAGAGCGGGAUAGCCCGGGGAAACUCGGAUUAAUACCGCAUGUGACAACGGGGCGGCUUCGCCCUGUUUUCAAAGGUGGGGACCGCAAGGCCUGCCGCUUCCAGAUUGGCCCGCGUCCUAUCAGCUAGUUGGCGGGGUAAAAGCCCACCAAGGCGACGACGGGUAGCUGGUCUGGGAGGACGACCAGCCACACUGGAACUGAGACACGGUCCAGACACCUACGGGUGGCAGCAGUCGAGAAUCUUUCACAAUGGGGGAAACCCUGAUGGAGCGACGCCGCGUGGAGGAUGAAGGUCUUCGGAUUGUAAACUCCUGUCAUGAAAGAACAAGCGAUGCGGGUAAACAGCCCGCAAAGUUGAUAGUAUUUCAAGAGGAAGGGACGGCUAACUUCGUGCCAGCAGCCGCCGUAAAAC
rnacentral:rRNA from 1 species